rfam:Triticum urartu cultivar G1812 contig16847, whole genome shotgun sequence.
GCAAUACUCCCUCUAUCCGAAAAUACUUGUUAUCAAAAUGCAUAAAAAGAGAUGUAUCUAGAAUUAAAAUGUCUAGAUAUAUCUCCUUUUAUCCUAGAACUAAAAUAUGUUUAGAUAUAUCUCUUUUUAUUCAUUUUGAUGACAAGUAUUUUCGAACGGAGGGAGUAUUAA